rnacentral:rRNA from 1 species
CACUCCUACGGGAGGCAGCAGUGGGGAAUAUUGCACAAUGGGCGCAAGCCUGAUGCAGCCAUGCCGCGUGUAUGAAGAAGGCCUUCGGGUUGUAAAGUACUUUCAGCGGGGAGGAAGGCGAUAAGGUUAAUAACCUUGUCGAUUGACGUUACCCGCAGAAGAAGCACCGGCUAACUCCGUGCCAGCAGCCGCGGUAAUACGGAGGGUGCAAGCGUUAAUCGGAAUUACUGGGCGUAAAGCGCACGCAGGCGGUCUGUCAAGUCGGAUGUGAAAUCCCCGGGCUCAACCUGGGAACUGCAUUCGAAACUGGCAGGCUAGAGUCUUGUAGAGGGGGGUAGAAUUCCAGGUGUAGCGGUGAAAUGCGUAGAGAUCUGGAGGAAUACCGGUGGCGAAGGCGGCCCCCUGGACAAAGACUGACGCUCAGGUGCGAAAGCGUGGGGAGCAAACAGGAUUAGAAACCCUAGUAGUCCCAUGA